rnacentral:rRNA from 1 species
CCUACGGGGGGCAGCAGUGAGGAAUCUUCGUCAAUGGACGAGAGUCUGAACCAGCCAAGUAGCGUGAAGGAUGACUGCCCUAUGGGUUGUAAACUUCUUUUAUAUGGGAAUAAAACAGGGUAUGCAUACCCUCUUGUAUGUACCAUAUGAAUAAGGAACGGCUAACCUCGUGCCAGCAGCCGAGGUAAUACGGAGGAUACGAGCGUUACCCGGAUUUAUUGGGUUUAAAGGGAGCGUAGGUGGAUUGUUAAGUCAGAUGUGAAAGUUUGCGGCUCAACCGUAAAAUUGCAGUUGAAACUGGCAGUCUUGAGUGCAGUAGAGGUGAGCGGAAUUCGAGGUGUAGCGGUGAAAUGCUUAGAUAUCACGAAGAACUCCGAUUGCGAAGGCAGCUCACUGGACUGCAACUGACGCUGAGGCUCGAAAGUGUGGGUAUCGAACAGGAUUAGAUACCCGGGUAGUC